CGUACUAGUAGCUCAGCGUCUAGAGCUCCG
rnacentral:tRNA from 1 species